rnacentral:rRNA from 1 species
CCUGGGGAGUACGGCCGCAAGGUUAAAACUCAAAUGAAUUGACGGGGGCCCGCACAAGCGGUGGAGCAUGUGGUUUAAUUCGAUGCAACGCGAAGAACCUUACCUACCCUUGACAUCGUGCGAACUUUCCAGAGAUGGAUUGGUGCCUUCGGGAACGCACAGACAGGUGCUGCAUGGCUGUCGUCAGCUCGUGUUGUGAAAUGUUGGGUUAAGUCCCGUAACGAGCGCAACCCUUGUCCCUAUUUGCCAGCGAUUCGGUCGGGAACUCUAGGGAGACUGCCGGUGACAAACCGGAGGAAGGUGGGGACGACGUCAAGUCAUCAUGGCCCUUACGGGUAGGGCUACACACGUGCUACAAUGGCCGGUACAAAGGGUUGCGAAGCCGCGAGGUGGAGCUAAUCCCGAAAAGCCGGUCUCAGUCCGGAUCGGAGUCUGCAACUCGACUCCGUGAAGUCGGAAUCGCUAGUAAUCGUGAAUCAGAAUGUCACGGUGAAUACGUUCCCGGGCCUUGUACACACCGCCCGUCACACCAUGGGAGUGGACUGCACCAGAAGUGGUUAGCCUAACUUCGGAGGGCGAUCACCACGGUGUGGUUCAUGACUGGGGUGAAGUCGUAACAAGGUAGCCGUAGGGGAACCUGCGGCUGGAUCACCUCCUUA